ensembl:lncRNA
GGAUUGAUUUCAAAACCAACAAUGUAAAAGGUCAACCAGGCCUAUUGCAUUGCUAAGGAGUAACGAAAACUAUGAACACAACAAACAGGUAACCGGAGACUGUGAUAGCUGGUACGAAAAACGGGAAACAGAUUUUGUGCCUACAGUCAGUCACACAAGGUGAAUACGCCCACAUAAUCACACAUUUUGUCACCUUACACCUCAGCUUGAUCUGUACCCGCUCGCUGUUUGAGUGCUUUGGACUUUUCGUUUUUAUUUUUUUAAUUAAAAAAAAAGUCUGCGGUGACACGCCAUCUCCUCACAGUAUUAAGUGAAAUAGAACAAGAGUGACUUUCGUUGACACGAAACUUUUAAUUAUUCUGAAGUGAGUGCAGUUAAAACUCAUAACGUCACGUUGCGUUUGCAUCCUGCCACCGAACAGAGGGCUCAUUUCAUGGCUGCAAUUGGACUGAGAUAUUAAGCUGAAUUUCAAAGAGACUGUGAUACCUGGUGUAAUUUUACAGGACAGAAGCUGAAGCCCCAGCAGGCACCUAACUGCUCAAGAUGUGGAAAAACCUCCUGCUUUCUGCAGUUGGUCCUGGAAAAAUCGGCACCGUCGCGACAGUCAUCGGGAUAUUCAUUGCCACUGUUCUUCUGCAGACCGCGACGUGCGCUUGCAGAACUUUUGAAUGUAAUGAAAUCGUCGUCGUGCCUUUUUUUUUAGUAUUUUUCCUGGUGCUCCUGAUAGACCAGACAUUUCGGAGCACCGCGAAACAUCCAUCUACGUUUUUAUGCCUUGUACUCAAGCGCGUUAUCAGAGCGUUUCUAAUCAGCCUGCUGUGGAUUGUAGCAUUGUUGGUUUUAACGGACUGGUAUGGUUGUUGUAACAUUGAUGAAAACACGAGUAAGCUGUUCUGCAAAUCUGAGAACCUCACAACCGAACAAGAAGCUCGAAAAGCUGAAGUGGAAAUCAAGUCAAGGCUUUCUGCUUACUCUCUGCUCCUGGGCAUGACUGUUGUCGCUUUCUUCAUGACUUGGAGUGGGUGGAGAAAAUGGUUUGAAGAAAAAUACAGUUGGUGCAACAAGAAAACUUUUUACUACAAACUGAUUUUGGAAGAAGAGAAAAAAGUUCUGGAGGAGCUUUUGAGGAAAGAAGCAAAUGAGACUUUGACUAAAGAAAUCACGAGCAACAUAAAAAGGAAAGACUGGGACGGCUGUUUUAACGUUGCUCAACAAAUGAUCAGUAAUGCAAAACAUCAAAAACCAGAAGCAACCAACCAGCAGAUCAACUGGAUCAGUGAGGGGAGCUCCAGCAGAGGGGGACAGCAUCAUCAAGCAGCAGCACAUCAGCAGGCUCAAAACUAUGAACUUGAUGAAGUUGCACAAGGUCCUGGGAGAUGGUUGUACCCAGGAACUUGAAGAUCUUCACAGUCGACACAGGGCUGUCUGAUAUGGUGAGGGGGAGCAGAGUUGAGGGAUGUCUCCUGAAGUCCACUGUCAUCUCUACAGUCUUAAGAGUGUUCAGCUCCAGACUGUGCUGACUGCACCAGAGUACCAGCCGCUCAACUUCCUGCCGGUAUGCAGACUCAUCACCAUCCUGUGUAUGUAUCACGCCAUCGGCCCCUCUGGCCAUCACCAGUAGGCAGUAGGUGAAGUGUCUUGCCCAAGGACACAAUGACCGAGACUGUCUGAGCCGGGGCUCGAACCGGCAACCUUCCGAUUACAAGAUGAACUGCCAACUCUUGGGCCACGAUCGCCCCUGUGGUCUCCAUCCUUUUAACUCUGUGACUCUGUGGACAGAAAACACAGACACCAUGCCGUUAUUUAACGAAUCCGCCUGAAAGAACACAGUUGACACAGUGACGCAGCUCCAGAAACAACGCAAGCGACCACAGACAAGUUAUACACCUUGACAGAGUGGGCGCUCCUUGUCAUCACAGCUGAGAGGGGAUAAAAAGUCUUAAUGUUCAGCCUAAUGUGAUUAAAAAUAAUCAGAGUGCUAAAACAGAACUUUUCCCCUUUUCCCUAAAAUCUAAGUUUGAUCGACAUAUUAAUGAGAAAAGUUGUUUGAGUAGUAAAAAUGACUGUUCUAAUGUCAUUGUUGUGUGUGUGUGUGUGUGUGUGUGUGUGUGUGUGUGUGUGUGUGUGUGUGUGUGUGUGUGUGUUAGUGGCUAGAUCCACUGAUCUCAAUGAAUGCCCGACUUUUAAAUCGAUUUAAUAAAAAAGUUGUAUGAAAUAAACAGUGAAUAACAAACAGAGUUUUAAAAAGGAUGCAAUCCUCAGUAUUUGAAUUAAAAAGGGAUUAUGUUACAAUGAAUGUUCAUGUGAAAAUGUGCUAAAGACAAAUCUAAUUGAAAUAGAAUUACAUGAACUGAGGCUACGUCCACACGUACACGGGUAUUUUUGAAAACGGAGAUUUUCCAUUUUCGUUUUAAAAAAUAAUCCCGUCCACAUGUAAACGCAGAAAUGAAGGAAAACGCUGCUAAGAACAUGCCAAAGCAGCAGGUGGCGCUAGAUUCCUAACCGUGCAGAAAUGUUGGCCAAUCAGAAGUCUAGAAGCCUCGGUGGGAAAAAGUAAACAAAGCUGGGGCAUAGAAGCAGAACCGAGUCGUAUGUGUGGAGGGACAGUAACUGUGUGUAUAUGUAAGCAUUUAAACACUGCAGAGAGUAGAAUUAACAGUAACAGUAUUGUAGAAAUUCAUUUCACCGAAACAAUAACGUGGCGCACAGUGUGACGUCAAAAUAGGCGCACACCUUUGACGCUGCGUUUUCUCCGUUUUUCUCGUCCACACGUAAAUGCAAAAACGGAGUUUUCAAAAAUAUCCACCCUGGCCGGAGUUUUUAAAAAUCUUCGUUUUCAGUGACCAAAAACGCCGUUUACGUGUGGACUAAAGGUGCAAACGCAUAGAAAAAUCUGCGUUUUCAAAAAUACCCGGGUACGUGUGGACGUAGCCUUAGUGAAACAUGAAGUGAUGACCGAAUAUUUAUAUGUGAUGUGAAUUCUGUUAUGAAUGACAAAGGAAAAAUGAUGACCUGAUUUUAAAGUUUAAACUUGGUGUUAAAUCUUCUACGUCAGCUAGACAGAGAUACGAUGAUACAGUGUGGCUGGAAUGAUGGAUCUAAUGAAUGAUUAGAUGUUUGUAAUGUGACUGGAUGUCCCGAAGGGUGAAGCUGGAUUCCAUCUCUGAAGAUGUGACAUUCAGUGGCAGAGGGGGACGUAAGGGUCAGCAUUAGCAUUAGCUCAGAGUAGGUUAAUUAGAUAAGUGUAAUUCAGAUGUUUUCAUUCAUGUUUUAUGAUUUUUACUAUUUGAUUUUGCUUUUGUUUUGCUCUCACUAAAUUGCUUUAUUAAAAUUUCCUGCAGCUAAAACCUGUAAUUGUGGAUAUUCACUUUUAAAGUCUUUGUGAAAGAGUAAAACUCUUUAUCAGUGCAAAUUGCUCCAAUGCUUUACAUUACAACAUCUGAUCACCUUCCCUCAAGACUUGCUGUUCAGGCCUCUAAAGUCCCAUGACUGAUUGGGACAGUAUAGGAUUUGAUCUGCAAGGCUACUCAGGUGUGGUCAUCUUAUCAUCUUAACACGGGGGACACAUGGACAAUUUCUAGGUAGUUAGUGCUGGGCGAGUCCCCUCACCCGCAUUGGCUCCAGCUGACCUCUGCAUUAUCAACUGUCUAAGAUUCAUAGGAUGAGACAUUAGGGGUUUUAAUCACUGAAAUAUUUGCAAGUUAGCUGAGUGAUGCAAUCUGUCUUUAUAAUCUUUGUCAGACUGUGUUUGAUAAAUCUAAAGAAAUGUUUCUUACAUGCUUCAUAUUCUCUGGAGCCUAUUGACCAAUCAGCUUUCACAUGAACAUGCUUAAUGACAUAUAAAUAAAGAUAAAUAGAUAAAUAGAUUAAAAUAACAGACUAUGUAUAAUAUGCUAAACUGCUGAACAAAAUUCCCAACAUCCCCAUUCAUGAAUCAUUAUUGUUUAUUACAGUGAGUGAAAAGAAACAAUACGCUCAGCCUGAAAACAACCAAUGACAAAAGUACAGAAAGUCAUUUAUUAAUAUCAGUUCUUUGUUCCUUCCCUCAAAUACAACCCACAUGUGUGUACCCCUACAGGUGGCAGGAAACAACUUAGACUUACACUUAGAGACUUACAGCAUUGUGCAGUUUCUUGCACAGCGAAACUGGGAAACCAGAGUGAUACACCUGCUGCUGUCAGACCUGCAGGUAUCAGGCUGUGAUCUUCUCCUUUAUAGUGGACAGAAAUUUUGGGAGUGGCACAAAUAAUUUGUGUGGCAUCUUAUUGAAUGCAGAACAGCUGAUUGUUCUGUAAAUAGUUUGAAAUGGUUAUAAAAAAAAAGGGUAAAUGUCAUGGUCCUGAGUCUGACAGCUCAGUGUUUUGUGUUUCUUCAUAUUAUUCCUUGUUCUUGUUUAUUCUGUUAUGUCUUUGGGUUCGGUUUGCCAUUCGUUAGGGGCUUGUUUUGUGCCUGCCUGCUCCCACUUCUCUGUGUUCCCUCUGUCUGUCCAUGGUGUCACUGUGUCUGCUUGUGAGUCUGUCUGUUUAGUGCAGUGUCUUGUCUGGUUCUCUGUGUGAAUCUCCCUCCGUCAUCCCGUGAAUUCUGCCUGCAAGUUGCUUUCUCUCGUGUUUAGGUUUAAAUUUAAGUUGUGUUUUUUGCCACACUCCCCUUUUGUUUGUUAUCACUCGGGUUCUGUGUCAAUAAAGCUCUCUCACUUCACUGCAUAUCCGCAUCUUGGGUCCUUUGUUAAAUUCACAGUAAAAGGUAAAUGGAUGCAAAUAACUUUGUUGUUUGCAAAACUUGUGCAUAUGAUUUUAAAAUUUACAAUUUAUAUUUGCAUUUAAAGUUAUGAAAUAUGAUUCAGUAAACACGUUUGUGGUUGUUACAGUAAAAAAAAACUAUUUCUACUCGGAUUUAAUGUUUUUUGUCUGAUUUUAGACCAAUUGUGUUAAUACAGUAUGUCAAAUUGAAAACAUAAUUGUACUUUCAGACACGUGAGGUUGUGCUGAACAGAAUGAUACCAAACAAGGCAAAUAAACAGUUUUUAAAGGUGAAAUGUAGAGGAAACAUCAAAAGUAGUUUAAAAAAAUGGCCAAUUACAUCCUGGACCCCAGAGGGUUAAAUAUUUUUUUUGAAAGUAACGCAAUAGUUACUUUCAAGUAUUUAAUUUCUUUUAGAAUCUUGUAACUCAGUUACCUUUUUUGAAAAAGUAACUAGUAACUAUAAUAAUUACUUUUUCAAAAUAACUUGCUCAACACUGCUGUAGAUGUCCCUCCAAGACAUCUACAGGAAGCGGUGCCUGAGGAAAGCGGGGAGGAUCAUCAAGGACUCCAGUCACCCCAGCCAUAAACUGUUCAGACUGCUUCCAUCAGGAAGGAGGUUCUGCAGCAUCCGGUCCCGUACCAGCAGACUGAGAGACAGCUUCUUCCAUCAGGCCAUCAGACUGCUGAACACUUCAUAGACACCUCAGCUUCACUACUGGAACUUUAACAUUAUGCACUCCACACUGUAUAUAAAUGCCACUUGUUUUGCACAUAUUCAACUCUGUAUAUUUUAUAUAUUUUAUUUAUUUAUUUUUUUUUACUAUUUAAUUUGUAAAAAUGUGUAUACACACACACACACACACACACACACGUAGGACAAUAUUUAGUAUACACAUCCAGAAAUGCAUAUACUAUUAUAUAUUGUACAUAUAUUUAUUAGUUUCAGAUUAGCCAUUCUUGUAUUUUGCUCGUUUGUGUUGUUGUGUUUGCACAUCUCUGUUGCUUGUGGGGCUCGCACACAAGAAUUUCACUCGCAUGUGCUGUGUGCCUGCACAUGUGAGGUGACAAUAAAAGUGAUUUGAUUUGAUUUGAUUUGAUUUGAAGUCAGCGCUUUAAGAACAG